UACAGAGGUCCCAAGCGUUUGUUCGGAUUCAUUGGGCGUAAAGGGUGCGUAGGCGGCGCGGUAAGUCGGGGUGUGAAAAUCUCGGAGCUUAACUCCGAAACUGCAUUCGAUACUGCCGUGCUUGAGGACUGGAGAGGAGACUGGAAUUUACGGUGUAGCGGUGAAAUGCGUAGAUAUCGUAAGGAAGACCAGUGGCGAAGGCGGGUCUCUGGACAGUUCCUGACGCUGAGGCACGAAGGUCAGGGGAGCAAACGGGG
rnacentral:rRNA from 1 species